CAGCGGGGCAGGGAAGGGACAGGAGGAUGCGUGUGAAGAGCAAAUGGUGGCUGGUGAGACGGCAACGUGGGUGGAGAGCCCUAAGUAGUCGAGCUGGCUCAUAGGAAGCUGAAAGGAUGCUAAUGGGAGGUAGGGGAAAUGAGCCCAGGCAGCAUAGAACUGAGUGAGAGGCGGGGAAUUUGACAUGCAUGUCACGAGGGAGAAAGGAAAAACAGAGGCAGUGGUAUAGAGGGAAUUGCUCACCUCCCCAUCCUCACUGGCACACACGCAGAGGGGCAGUCAUUUAAGCUGCUCCAAGCACUUUUUUAGCCUCAGACUUUGUUAAGAGACUCUUCAGCAGCCCCAAGUGUAAGACACUCUCUGGACAGCAUCUCUGACCACGUUCCUUGGGGAAAACUGGAUGAACCAUGCUGAAGAUGCCAGCUGGUGGCACGGGGCACAGGGAAGCGAUAUGGGACCCAGGAGGUGAGGAUGAAGGGACUGCCUGCUGCUUCACUGAAGGAACUGAAGGUUUAACUGCAUCCACCACACCCCAUGGAGUCCUGUCUCACAGUGCAAGAUCUGAAAGUGAAAUAAAAAGUCGCCAGUCUCAACAUCAAAUAAAAGCAGCCUUUUGGGCUUUGUUUCCUAGAUGGAGGGUGACCAAAUUUGGGAACACACUGAAAACAUUCUAGUCAAAAUUGAAAUGUGACAGGUGGGGUAUACACGUCUAGUAUUAGAUAUGGAGGUUGGCGGCCCUACCAGUGGCGGGGGGUUGGAGCUUGAUGAUCCUUGAGGUCCCGUCCAACCCAAGCCAUUCUAUGUUUCUAUGAAAUGGAUUUGUGUAUAAAAAA
ensembl:lncRNA